rnacentral:lncRNA from 1 species
GAGUUGAGCAGGGGAGCUGUGGGACAAGUGUGAAAGCCAUUGCUAGUGAGAAAAAGCAAUAGUAGCAAUUAGAUAGUGAAACUGAACAGUGCCCUUUAAUAAAUAAUUCACCUCACUUCCCAAUCGUAUCUACACUGUGCCUCUCCUCCAAACCCACUUACAGACCCUCUUCUGCCCUUGGAGUCAUUAUUGCCCUCAAUUCAAGCGUCUGAAAGCAUGCCUGAUGAAACGCAAUGCUCCGUUCCUGGCUAGCUGCCACUGGCCACACCCUACAAAGAAUCCCAACAGCCCAGUUCAAAGACUUGUCAUUAGAGAUGCUGUUCUAUCCAGCCAGCCAACAAUUCUCAAGUGGAGUGGCUCUAGAAACUCAGCUCUUGAAAACAUCACGGAGCUUUAUCAGUGACAAGGCCAAGAGGUUGCAACUACUGUUAUCUUUGGACACACAGAAGAAUCACCUGGUCCAGACUCUGUCUCACCACUGGGCUCUUUCAACAGAUCCCAUUUGAAAGCCUUCAACUCGAUCAGGCUUUGAGAAGCAAAGCACAGCCUGUCAUGGUGGCUCACGUCUGUAAUCCCAGCACUUUUGGAGACUGAGGCAUGUGGAUUGCCUGAGGUCAGGAGUUCGAGACCACUCUGGCCAACAUGGCGAAACGCCAUCUCUACCAAAAAUACAAAAAUGAGCUGGACACUGUGGCGUGCACCUGUAAUCCCUGCUACUUGGGAGGCUGAGGCAGGAGAAUCGCUUGAACUUGGGAGCAAAGGUUGCAGUUAGCUGAGAUUGCACCACUGCACUCCAGCCUGGGCAACAGAGUGAGACUCCAUCCCCUCAAAAAAAAAAAAAAAAGCAAAGGAAGAGAAACCUCAGGCCAUUAUCUCAGCUAUUCAGAAUCAUACCUGGCCUCAAUAAUUGUACAUAUCUUUCCAGUGGCCAAACUUCCACCUCACAUGCUGGUUUUAUGCCCUGUUCUGAUUCAUACGAAACUCUCACACCCCAUCUGAGUCUAUACCUUAGUGGAGAUACUUUUGGUAUAGUCCAUACUUAAGUUUAGUACCCUAGAAAAAGAUUUUAAUGAUAGAAAGAAAUCCAGUUGCUUAACACUCUAUUCUUUGCCUUGUGUGCAUUUUCCUUUUGUUUUUAUUCAAUAUUCAGCAAGCA